AAGUCGUAACAAGGUUUCCGUAGGUGAACCUGCGGAAGGAUCAUUAACACGUAUCCAACGUUAAACCCCCCGUGCACACAGAGACCAGCUCCCCUCAAUUUCGGUCUUUUGGCAAUCUCUGGUAAAUCAUCGCCGAACAGUUUUGAUUCAGGGACUUCUGUGGAGCGCGGAAAACGAGGCGAGGCAAGUGGUCUGGCAUCCCUCUGCUUGUUAGUGUCUGACAGUGUCACUAGCUCUGUAAGGGUGGCGCAGUAACGAUCGCUAGUGGCCGACACGGCCGGCGACCGGACCGCCGGGCUAUACGCUCCUUUAUCACCUUUGCAUGAAAACGGGCCUGCGCUUAAUUGUGCGGCCAUAACCGAACAACUGUUAACAAUGGAUAUCUUGGUUCUC
rnacentral:misc_RNA from 1 species